UACGUAGGCAGCGAGCGUUGUUCGGAAUUACUGGGCGUAAAGAGUGUGUAGGCGGUGCUCUAAGUUCGGUGUGAAAUCUCCCGGCUCAACUGGGAGGGGGCCAUCCAGACGGCGUGGCUUGGGGCUCGGAGGGGGGCGUGGAAUUCCGGGUGGAGCGGUGAAAUGCGUAGAGAUCCGGAGGAACACCGACGGCGAAGGCAGCGCCCUGGACGAGACCUGACGCUCAGGCACGAAAGCUGGGGGAGCAAACAGG
rnacentral:rRNA from 1 species